UGCUGAACUUUCCUUUUCACUCUGCAUAUUUACAUCCUCAUACUCCCACAAGUGCAUAUAUCAACAAGAGCAGAAACCUGUCCCAGAGGAGUUAAAAUCAAAUGGAGUAGGAUCAAAGAAACACAAAAGGUAUUAAUUGUACUGGAUGUAAACGUUCACUGCUAAGCACUGCUACACAUACAGUAAGUACUUAACACUUUCCUUACUGGAUUAGCAUUCAGAAUAGAAUCUCCAUCUACAAAAGAAUGAGUUCUCAGCAUGAUUUGGAGUACUCACUCAUUUCAGAGGACUGCAGAGGAGACAUUUUUAAAAGAAAGAUGCACACAACACUGCUAGCAGAGAAGACUCUCAUCUCAGAGGAAAGGCCUCAGCAGUCUCUCAUUUCACUCACACCACACCACACCACGUAAAAAUCAACUGCAAGUAACUAUAGCCAGUGAUCAUUAUGUCCAGUCCUGGCUCCCACUGUAUGUCUAACUAAGGAAGAAAGGAAAAGCAAGAAAGUAAAAAGAAUUGAAAUAAUGGCAAAUUAAAAGAGCAAAAAGGAAUUAGCAGAAGAAAUGAAGAGAAAAAGAAACUGUGACAAAGGAGAACUAUGCCUUUCUUGUGAGCAAAUUCCAUCCAGAUACUUCAUAACUUAAGAGACCAAUUAAAACAGGUGAGCAAAUCAUAU
rnacentral:lncRNA from 1 species